UACGGGGGGGGCAAGCGUUGUUCGGAAUUACUGGGCGUAAAGGGCUCGUAGGCGGCCAACUAAGUCAGACGUGAAAUCCCUCGGCUUAACCGGGGAACUGCGUCUGAUACUGGAUGGCUUGAGUUUGGGAGAGGGAUGCGGAAUUCCAGGUGUAGCGGUGAAAUGCGCAGAUAUCAGGAGGAACACCGGUGGCGAAGGCGGGUCUCUGGGCCGAUACUGACGCUGAGGAGCGAAAGCGUGGGGAGCGAACAGG
rnacentral:rRNA from 1 species